AUCCAUGCCAUUGGCACCUGCUCAGAGGGAACGGAGACGAUUUCACUUAACAAAGCGCCACUCCAGCCCAGAAAAGCAGAGCUUACCUGAGCGUUACGAAGAUUUCAGGAAUAAGAACAAUGCCAACGCUAGCAUACCUUGUUACUUGUGUGGUAAUUUCUGCAGUGUCAUCCAUGCGUGGAGAAUAUGAAGUGGAGCUUAUAUCAGCUGAAUUUGAUCAUAACCCGGAUGCUUGGAAGCUCAUUGACAAGUCGUCUAAAGAAUAUUACCUGAUGUUUGCGUCUCAAAAGACAGUCGACCCGAAAAAGUGCGUGCGCACAGUCGGAACAAGAAACGUUCCCGAAAAAGCGUUUGAGCGCCAGCUAACGUACAGUUGUUUGGUUGGCGCUGAUCUACACACUGAAAAUAUAACUCUUGGAAUUAAAAAGACAAGCAAAUGUUAUGUAUAUGAAAACGAGGUGACGGUAACCGAUCACAAAGGUAAUGUACGAAGCUUUAUCUGUAAACUCUUAGCCAAUCAGAACAUAAUACUCAGCAAUUAUUCUUACAUGUUUGAAACCAUGGCUCGAAGCAAUAACAGCAGCCAUCCUUCAACAAAAUAGGCGAGUACGUUCAAGAACAAGAACAAGAAAUGCAUAACCACUAAGAAAUGCGAGUGCAGAAAAAGGUAGGUGCACCCGGGACCAAAUGAACCGUAAGAAAACCAUAUAUGCCGCAUUUCUAAUUGGCAGAAAAGUAAAGCAGUGCCCCUGCAUUCCAAUAAUAUCCCUACAAUAAUUCCAGUAGAACCCAUCUGACGACGACUGCAUAAUGAAUCCUUACGAACUAGCGCAGCUUUCUGUCAUUCUAAGACUGUCAACGGUAAUGCGAUUAGCAUUGAAGCAAUGUGGCGACGUUGUAGCGACACAGUGUAUUGAAGAAGACAACUUUAUUCCGAAUGUGUAGCGGUCAUUCGGCUAAUGCGCCAUACCCUGUCUGCGGGAGCAGGCCAC
rnacentral:lncRNA from 1 species